CCGUUAGGGGUGUCCGAUUACUAAGUCGGACUGAGAAAAAACCCUUAAUACCUGAUCCGGAUAAUACCGGCGUAGGAAAACGGUUU
rnacentral:ncRNA from 1 species